GCCCGGGUGGCGGAAUUAGAAGACGCGUGCGACUCAAAAUCGCAUGGGGUUUUUCCCCUUGAGGGUGCAAGUCCCUCCCCGGGCA
rnacentral:tRNA from 1 species